rnacentral:lncRNA from 1 species
AACACGAAUCAAAAUAUGUCACCAAGCAAGCAUUCAUAACUAUCUUACGUUAUCAUUACUUUAUUUAUCUUAAAAAGCACUUAGAAGUAUAGAAAUAAAUACUAAGGAAUCCUUUAUCUUAAUCGGGUUGACUUAGCCUUUUGGUAACACAGGAAGAGCUUUUAGAAAUCACCGAAUGAGUUUGUGAAACUCCAAACUUUUCUUUCAUUUC